AACGAACGCUGGCGGCAUGCCUAACGCAUGCAAGUCGAACGAGACCUUCGGGUCUAGUGGCGCACGGGUGCGUAACGCGUGGGAACCUGCCCUUAGGUUCGGAAUAACUCCCCGAAAGGGGUGCUAAUACCGGAUAAUGUCUUCGGACCAAAGAUUUAUCGCCUUUGGAUGGGCCCGCGUUGGAUUAGCUAGUUGGUAGGGUAAAAGCCUACCAAGGCGACGAUCCAUAGCUGGUCUGAGAGGAUGAUCAGCCACACUGGGACUGAGACACGGCCCAGACUCCUACGGGAGGCAGCAGUGGGGAAUAUUGGGCAAUGGGCGAAAGCCUGAUCCAGCCAUGCCGCGUGAGUGAUGAAGGCCUUAGGGUUGUAAAGCUCUUUUAGCCGGGAUGAUAAUGACAGUACCGGGAGAAUAAGCUCCGGCUAACUCCGUG
rnacentral:rRNA from 1 species